GUGUUAGUAACCGGUAAUUGGUUUCCGACUAGGUUGUGGCCCUAGAAAAUCUGAAAAUGAUUUAUGCGGGUUCGAAUCCCGUCUAACACA
rnacentral:tRNA from 1 species